rnacentral:lncRNA from 1 species
GCUGUGGCUAUUGGUUGAGAGAUGGGCAAGUAACCCAAUCAGCACAUAAGACGCAAGAAUAUUCCUAGUGUUUCUGGUAGAGCAAGGUUUCUCCUAUCUUCCAUGGAAGCUGUUGGGAGAGACCUUCAUUGUUUCCCUGAAGGAUGUGGUAUAAAAUUGGAAUUUUGCUACCAGGAAGGGAUAGCCUGGAACUGCUCGAAGUGGGAGGACGGAAUGUUCUACAAGGAGCCUGGAGGUCAGACAGGAGCGAUGGGAAGGAACAAGGUCCUUGUGACAUCUUUGGAGCCGCUGGACCAAGCCUCACGUGAUGCUAACACUACCUCCACUCAAUAAACUCCCCAGGAGGUAAUCAAUUAGACUUGGGUUUUCCUGUCACUUGCAACGCAAAGCAUUCUAAUGGAAACUCCCUGAGGCCUAAACAAAGACUGGAUCAGACAGGAGAGCUCAGGAAUCAGGAAGACAAAAUUCUUUCAAAGGGUGUGGGAACUGGGAAAUACCCAUCGGCCCACCUGGUGCUGGGAAGACUUCAGAAAAAAGCCACCAAGGCAGAGAGCGUAGAUGAAUUUUUUGUCCUCAAAUGUUUCCAUGCAGGACACUGUCACAUGGUGGAGGACACACGUAUGAGCAAGACAGCCCCUGCAGCCAGGAGCUGCUUCCAGGUGAGGAACACAGGCUCGGACAAAACUGACCGGAACAUGAGCAAGACUGGAAUAAGAGCUGAGGCUGAGACAUGGAUCCAUGGGCGUCGGGACCCUGGCAGGAAAGCAAGAUCCUGGGGACAGAGCACCUUUCUCUGCCCACAAAGGCACUGUACAGUUGCCCAGCCCUGUCACUCGGGGCCACCUCCCCCCAGAAAGAGCUCUUUAUCUGACUUGUACAAAAGCACCUUAGGGGCUAGCAUUGCCAGGUGCAUUGGGGAGCAGUUCCUCCAGGUCUAGCCCCACCAACUUUUCCAGAUUCUGUAUUCCUCAAAGCACAGGAUACCAGACUAUGAGUUACCCAGAACCCUAUCUCCCUUCCACCAAUGGGAGCUGGCAGGAGGAGGAGAUGGACAGGAAACUUGGAAAACUCAUUCAUUCAUUCAUUCAUUCAUUCAACAAGAAAGUAUGACUCCACCCCAGGCACUAUUCCAGUCACUGGCAGUACAGAAGAGAGCAAAGACAGGCCAGGGGCCAUUUGACAGCAUCUUCAGAAACCCCCACAUCAUCUAGACCCUGGGCUUCCCACCCGCCAGGCCAGGCUCUUCCUGCUAGUCCAUGCUGCCUCCUGGGGCUGCCAGUUCUUCAACCAGGCCCACGGGGCACCCACUUGCUGGCUGAAUUUCUCCCCCUGCAUCCCAGUUCUCCUCCAAGUUGGAAGAAGUCUUUGUGGUUUGGAUGAAGGAAGGGAUGAGGAGGAGGGGGACAGAGCAAAGUGUGUUUGCUGGCACCAGAAUCACAGCAGAAGCCAGUGCUGGAAACCUUCCCAAGUAUUUAGAAAUUAAAAUAAUAAAAGAAAACUGAGCAUAUGGAGUUUGUAAAGUGCUGUCCAUCUUCAAGAAGGGAUACAGCUUACUCAGAGUGCAUGGGAGAGCAGGUCGGAGUGAACGUGUCUGUGGGGUAGGGGCGAACACUCAGGCUCUCGGGUAGGAUGAGGGUCCCCAGGCUAGGCUAGCCCAAGAGGCAGGAGGAGUGUGGGAAUUCCCUUUAAGCUGCACUUUUAAAGAAGGAGAAAGAAUAUCCUCUAUGGCCCCUCCCUAACUUCACAGGCGUCCCCAGUCCUUCCCAGCCCAGGGAACGCCAACUCCCCAGCUCGACUCUGAACCAAUCUUCAGUUCUUUCUCUCCACAUCCAAAUUCUCAGCCCAAAUGCCACCUCUUCAAAGAAGCCCUCUCUGGCCACCUCAUCUGGAAGGCCACCCCUCCAGGUACUUUUUCAUCACUCUGUGUAUUUCUGCACGAACCUAUCACUAUCUAAAAUGACCACGGCCCAGUGUGGUAGCUCACGCCUAUAAUCCCAGCACUUUGAGAGGCCGAGGCGGGAGGAUCAUGAGGUCAGGAGUUCGAGACCAGCCUGGCCAACAUGAUGAAACCCCGUCUCUACUAAAAAUACAAAAAUUAGACGGGCAUGGUGGCACAUGUCUGUAAUCUCAGGUACUCGAGUGGCUAGCCAACCUGGUAAAACCCCAUCUCUACUAAAAAUACAAAAAUAGGCUGGGCAUGGUGGCGGGCACCUGCUACUGGGGAGGCUGAGGCAGGAGAAUUGCUUGAACCCGGGAGGUGGAGGUUGCAGUGAGCCGAGAUCAUGCCACUGCACUCCAGCCUGGGUGACAGAGUGAGACUCCGUCUUAAAUAAAAUAAAAUAAAAUAAAAUAAAAUAAAA